UCGAUGGAUUGCAGCUAGUUUCGUGCCGGUCUCUGGCGUAUCCAGACGUAUAUCGCACAAGUGUUUCGUUUUAUCAGACUUCUAUUUUCAAAGUUUGCAUUAUAUUCGGUCAACAAUCGACCUAGUCGUAAUAUGCAUCUGCAGUGUUUUCUUAAUAAGUAAUUGUGCGUUUAAUGUGCAUAAAUGUAUUUUUGCUUGCUUUUGAUAUUUCAAAUCAAAUAUUUCGGUUAUUGUGUGACGUGGUCGAUCGCUAGAUCAAUCGGAAACCUAUUCGUGCUUGAUACUUGCCGUACCCUUGCAAUCCGAUGAGCGCUGCAUUGUACUUGCCAUACCCUUGCGAUCCGAAGAGCGCUGUAUUGGUAAGUUUAUAAUUAAGUUAUAUUAUUCGGUUAAAUGUUUUAAGGCUUUUCACCUGAGUGUUGCAAUAGCUCGCGAAUUAGGGAGAUCGUAUAUGUUUUAUUUGGUAAUAUGGAAAACGGAAAUGUUUAAAUUUUUUAUCGGCUUCUGAUAGCGCAAGAAGGGUUUUGUUAAUUUUUUUUGUUGAUGUAGUUGAGUCUCAUUCGGUUUACCGUAGCAGGGUAGCGAUAGAAAUUACUCGUGUUCAGGGCACCGUUCGAAGGUAGCGGUAGUGAGUCGUAUACAUAAAUUAUAAAAUAUAAAUUGUGCUAUUCGGAAUUGGAAAAAACUGGGAAAAAGGGGCCGUACCGCGAUUUGUAUUUUUUUGUUAUGAAUUUUUUCCCUUUUUAUUUUUCCGACUUUAAUACUUUAUUUUAUAGAGAUUAUUUAAAUUAAAAGACAAUAAAUUAUUUAUUUGUAUUGGUGAAUUACAAAUUUCUGUUUUUCCUCAUCCUUAUUGCAUCCCAAAACCAAUAUAUUCUUUUCUUAU